GAGUUUGAUCGUGGCUCAGAUUGAACGCUGGCGGCAUGCCUUACACAUGCAAGUCGAACGGCAGCACGGGAGCUUGCUCCUGGUGGCGAGUGGCGAACGGGUGAGUAAUGCAUCGGAACGUAUCCUGGAGUGGGGGAUAACGUAGCGAAGUUACGCUAAUACCGCAUAUUCCGUGAGCAGGAAAGCGAGGGACCUUCGGGCCUCGCGCUCUUGGAGCGGCCGAUGUCGGAUUAGCUAGUUGGUGAGGUAAAGGCUCACCAAGGCGACGAUCCGUAGCAGGUCUGAGAGGAUGAUCUGCCACACUGGAACUGAGACACGGUCCAGACUCCUACGGGAGGCAGCAGUGGGGAAUUUUGGACAAUGGGGGCAACCCUGAUCCAGCCAUGCCGCGUGAGUGAAGAAGGCC
rnacentral:rRNA from 1 species